rnacentral:rRNA from 1 species
GGUUGAUCCUGCCAGUAGUCAUAUGCUUGUCUCAAAGAUUAAGCCAUGCAUGUCUAAGUAUAAGCUUUUAUACGGCAAAACUGCGAAUGGCUCAUUAUAACAGCUAUCGUUUAUUUGAGAUACAAAUUACACGGAUACCCGUGGUAAUUCUGGAGCUAAUACGUGCAUCGUUCCCAACUCAAGGGAAGGGCAGCAUUUAUUAGAUUUAGAACCAUCCUACACUUAGGUGUGGUGAUUGGUGAUCCAUAAUGACUGAGCAGAUCGCAAAGCUACGGCUGGCGACACUCCAUUUA